rnacentral:rRNA from 1 species
CGCUGGCGGCGUGCUUAACACAUGCAAGUCGAGCGGGCAAUUUAUCUAGCACUGAUUACUUCAAAUGGCUAUCGCCAGUGUAAUCAUGAAUUUCUACCUUAUAAUAAANAAAAAAGAAUUUCAUGUACGCAAAUAGUGAUAACACNUUUUAGUGGAGUGAUGAGUGCUGGAUAANUUGCUAGCGGCGGACGGGUGCGUAACACGUGGGUAACCUGCCCCUAUCACUGGGAUAACACACUGAAAAGUGUGCUAAUACCANAUAACAUAAGCUUUUGGCAUCAUUAGCUUAUCAAANAAUUUCGNGAUAGGGAUGGGCCCGCGUCUGAUUAGCUAGUUGGUGAGGUAACGGCUCACCAAGGCAACGAUCAGUAGCCGACCUGAGAGGGUGAUCGGCCACACUGGAACUGAGACACGGUCCAGACUCCUACGGGAGGCAGCAGUGGGGAAUAUUGCACAAUGGGCGAAAGCCUGAUGCAGCAACGCCGCGUGAGCNAUGAAGGCCUUCGGGUCGUAAAGCUCUGUCCUAUGGGAAGAUAAUGACGGUACCAUAGGAGGAAGCCCCGGGCUAACUACGUGCCAGCAGCCGCGGUANUACGUAGGGGGGCAAGCGUUAUCCGGAAUUACUGGGGCGUAAAGGGUG